rnacentral:lncRNA from 1 species
CUCUGAGUGGGCAGGGACAACAAAGCAGAAGAAAACGUGUUCUCUCCCCUUCUCACCUUAUGUAUCCAUUGGGCAGAUGCAGGGAGAAAGCGGCAGGAAAGGAUCAUGGAAGUUUAACGCUGAUGUCAUUCAGGAAGGAGGAAGGACUCCAAGACACCCUGAGUCACACUCCUCCUCCUCCUCUAGCAGCUGAACUCCUGGCCUUGAAGGCAAGAACUCCACUUGGCCGUGAUGGUUUCCCGGACACAGAUGCUUAUGAGCAAGGCCCCACCCACACCAGGAGGAAGAAGCAAAAAAAAGAAACUGGCGAAGAAAGUAAGGCAGAAGAACAUGAAGCCCUUAACAACACUCCAAACUCUGUUUAAAGAUAGAGACAAAUGGGAUUUAAAUGGAGCCCAACAAGCAAAUUCAGAAACAAGUUGAAACCGGGAACCCGGCUCAAGGUUCAUUUGUGGCAUCAGUGAUCCUGUGGUCCUCCCUGGGGCGUCAGCCAGUGGGAGUGGCAGUGCCAGCUCUGCCACCCAAAGUCCUAGGGUUUUGGAGAUGUCACUUUGCUCGUUGGUAAAACGAGGAAAUGCUUGUCUGGUGGGGCUGGCGUGCAAGGCAAAGGCGAUGUCUGAGAGAGCUCUGAAAAGAGCAAAACGCUACAGGUCUGGGUUUACUCUGAUGCUAUGUGAGAACUUACUUUGCAGGACUGACAUUUCUUUGGAUGUCCAAGUCUUUAUUGCUGUUAUGGGUGUGGUCUAUUUAAAAAAAUCCCAGAAUAGGGAAAACCUGUGAAGAUAGUGGCUCAGUGGCUGUCUAGC